rnacentral:lncRNA from 1 species
CGACCAUGAGCUUUUCUCGGGAAACCGUCGUCUGCGUACUCUUCCUCUGCAUCGGUAUCAACUUUUUCGCCGUCACCUCAUACCUGCUUGGUCACUACAGAGCAAUCGGAAGCGACGGUUUACUCUUCGACGUCCUCCUCGGCUUUGAGACGGGUGUCAACCUGGUGUCCGACCUCAUCCUGCUCAACGCACUACAAUUAU